rnacentral:rRNA from 1 species
UACGGAGGGUGCGAGCGUUGUCCGGAAUCACUGGGCGUAAAGGGCGCGUAGGCGGCCACCGCAAGUCGACUGUGAAAUCUCCGGGCUUAACCCGGAAAGGUCAGCCGAUACUGCGGGGCUAGAGUGCAGAAGGGGCAACUGGAAUUCUCGGCGUAGCGGUGAAAUGCGUAGAUAUCGAGAGGAACACCUGCGGCGAAGGCGGGUUGCUGGGCUGACACUGACGCUGAUGUGCGAAAGCUAGGGGAGCGAACGGG